rnacentral:rRNA from 1 species
UACGUAGGUGGCAAGCGUUGUCCGGAAUUAUUGGGCGUAAAGGGUGCGUAGGCGGUUUGGUAAGUCUUGUGUGAAAUCUCCAGGCUCAACUUGGAGUCUGCACGAGAAACUGCCGGGCUUGAGUGUGGGAGAGGUGAGUGGAAUUCCCGGUGUAGCGGUGAAAUGCGUAGAUAUUCGCAAGAACACCAGUGGCGAAGGCGGCUCACUGGCCCGAUACUGACGCUGAGGCACGAAAGCGUGGGGAGCAAACAGG